GCCUUCCCUUACCCACCAAAUAUUCUCCCUCUCUGCCCCUCUCUCUUUCCCAUGGCUAGUGAUCAUCAGGAAAUCUUACGUGCAGAGCACAUGCAGGAUUUCACAGACGAGGAUAGCCAGAACGAAGGAGAAGAAGAAGAAGAAGAAGAAGAAGAAGAUGAUGAUGAUAAGGAGGAGGAGGAGGAAAGCACACGGGAUUGCAGAAGUACGCUUUUCAUGUGUGGUGGUUCUCGAAGAAGAGGGUGGUCUUUAGGGCAAAUGUUGGACCCUAGAGCCAGAUGGGUUCAAGAAUGGAAUAGGGUCUUUCUUCUUGUGUGCGCCACUGGACUUUUUGUGGACCCUCUCUUUUUCUACGCUCUGUCUGUUAGCGAUACCUGCAUGUGCCUUUUCAUCGACGGGUGGUUUGCUAUCACGGUAACGGCUCUCCGGUGCAUGACUGACGCCUUGCACGUGUGGAACAUGUGGUUGCAGCUCAAAAUGGCCAAGAAACCAUCUAGUGGUGGUGGUGGUAGUGAUGGUACUAGAGGUGGACCACGCUUGAUGACAAGCCCAAGCUCAGUGGCCCUGAAGUACCUCAAGGAAAAGAGAGGAUUUUUCUUUGAUCUGUUUGUUAUUCUCCCCCUACCCCAGAUUGUACUAUGGAUAGCAAUUCCAUCCUUAUUAGAGAAAGGGUCAGUGACUGUAGUGAUGACUAUAUUCUUGAUCAUAUUCCUCUUCCAAUAUCUUCCGAAGAUCUACCACUCGGUUUGCCUUCUUCGUCGCAU
rnacentral:misc_RNA from 1 species